rnacentral:tRNA from 1 species
AGAGAAUUGACCGAGUGGCUUAAGGUGGUAAGCUUGAAACUUACUUGAUAAUUAACUUAUCACAUCCGUUCAAAUCGGAUAUUCUCUG